rnacentral:misc_RNA from 1 species
AAUUCUCAAAACCCUUUUCUUUUGAAGAGGAUUUUGGACUUGGAGGCUUUUUGCUGGUUUCGCACAGAAGCGAGCUCCUCCUAAAUGGAUUAGUGGGGUCUGCUUUGCCGAUCCUUGACGUGAUAAGAUGUUUCUACGUCUUGGGUUUGGCACCGCACCUGCUUCUAACCGUCUCAUCGACAAUGAUGGCGUUCCGGUCACCACCGUUUCAUCGGUGGGAGGCUUGACCCACCAAAAAA